CAACCUGCCGAUAACUCAGGGAUAGCCUUUCGAAAGAAAGAUUAAUACCUGAUGGCAUAGGAUUAUCGCAUGAUAAUCCUAUUAAAGAAUUUCGGUUAUCGAUGGGGAUGCGUUCCAUUAGGCAGUUGGUGAGGUAACGGCUCACCAAACCUUCGAUGGAUAGGGGUUCUGAGAGGAAGGUCCCCCACAUUGGAACUGAGACACGGUCCAAACUCCUACGGGAGGCAGCAGUGAGGAAUAUUGGUCAAUGGACGGGAGUCUGAACCAGCCAAGUAGCGUGAAGGAUGACUGCCCUAUGGGUUGUAAACUUCUUUUAUACGGGAAUAAAGUGAUCCACGUGUGGAUUUUUGUAUGUACCGUAUGAAUAAGGAUCGGCUAACUCCGUGCCAACAGCCGCGGUAAUACGGAGGAUCCGAGCGUUAUCCGGAUUUAUUGGGUUUAAAGGGAGCGUAGGCGGACGCUUAAGUCAGUUGUGAAAGUUUGCGGCUCAACCGUAAAAUUGCAGUUGAUACUGGGUGUCUUGAGUACAGUAGAGGCAGGCGGAAUUCGUGGUGUAGCGGUGAAAUGCUUAGAUAUCACGAAGAACUCCGAUUG
rnacentral:rRNA from 1 species